GUCCCGGCGUCUCGGCCUCCCCUUCCCAUUGGCUGCCUCGCCCCUGUUUGCGACCCGAGAAGUGUCCGGGUCAGUCGCUCCGGGAGCGCUGACUUCUCAUUGGCCGCCCCUGGGAGCCCGCCCCACGUGGGAGCCGAGUUCCCGGCCCCGCUCCAAACAAACCCCCGUCCCGCAAAGCGGGAAGGAAAGUCCGGCCUGGAGUCGCCGGAGCCGGAGCGGCUGCAGCCUGUCAAGGCCGCCACCUGCUGCCUGCGGUUUGUCUCCCGGCCGCCCCCUCUCCGCGUGGCCCCCCCCAGCCUCUCUCAAGCCGAGGAGUUGCCGCCAAGCCCCGCGCAAGGACGUCAGGAGCCCUGGCUGCCCUGGCAUCCCGGGGGGCUUUGGCUGGGAAGGAUUUGUCCCCCGGGGACGGGUGCCAGCUUGAGCUAAAAGGAGCAACUUCACUGGCUGGUAGCAGUAGUAGGGUGUUACCCUGGAGGGCAGGAAGCAGCGGAGAGACACAUGGAAAACAUACUUUGCUGGUGUUGCACAGGAACUCUGAAAAUCAGCGCGCUCUCCUUUUAUUGAGGUGCCUUUAGGUUUGAAAACGCUGGCCUCCAACGCUUUGUGCCUCAGUUUCUCCAUCCCCAAAUGAGGCGAUCUUCCCUCUCUCGCAGAGGGCGAGACAAGCACUUUGCGACCCUCGUCAGGAAAUUGCUAAGGAAGGGCCAGCUCCAGUCCUGUUGAGAUGUGGUAAAGUGACCAAGAAUGUCUGUUGCUAAUUGAUAUUUAGCACACCAGGGCCGUACUGAAAUAGCAGAUUGGAAUGCUGAAAUCUCCGAUUGGGACUGAAAAAUAAAUCCAGUGCAUCCAAAUUCCAGAUGCAGCCUUGCAGGAUAUGAGCACCAAUGAACCUGAUCUCCUCUUGGAAUCUAGCAAGACUUUCCUCUUUCUCAGCACUCCAAGAGCUGCAGCAACGACGACAAAACACAUUUAUGAGAACGCUUUGUCGAGGAAGUGUUGCUCUUUGGACUUCAGGUGUAGUAAUGAUAUUUGAACUCACAUGUGUACUGUAAUGCCUCUCAACUGAGGCUUUCCAAGUACUUACCAAACAAUUCAGCCUCACAAUGUGGCUGUGAGGGAGGGGAGGUAUUAUUACACCUGGCAUUUCAUAGAUGUGUAAAAUGAGGUAGGGGUUAAAUAACUUGUUCAGCAUCCCCAUGUGAGUCAGUGGCAGCUGCUGGGGACACACUCCAGGAAUCCUGGCACCCAGUUUUCUACUCUCACUGCAGCUGCCAGUGCUGAGAGGUUCCAUUUGAACGUCCUCAGCACAAUUCCAUUUGUCCUUCACUGUGUCUUUGAACCAUGCCUAGAUCUCUCGAUCUGAAGGUGCCCAGUGUGCACUGUCACGCUCGGCGGAAGGCCCACUGUCUAAUGUCAUGGGUAGCGUAAGAAAGGGGCACGGGAUCAAAUGCUGAGAGCACAGACAGGUGAGUCAAGAGAUCUAGAUUCCACUCCUGGUUCUUCCUGAGAUUUGGACAAGUCACUUAGCCCAACCUUUUCAAGAGCAGCCCCUUUAUCUUUGGGGCCCCACUUGAGACACGCAACAAAACAAGUCUCACCUGCCCAUUCUCUCCAGGGGGAUCACAAUAUCCCCCUGCCUCCCACGGUGCUGGGAAGCUUGCUUUGUUAGUGUUGUACAGUGUCUAGGCAUCUGCAGAUGGGCGACACCAUUCCCGGUGAAAAGCUGGAGUGUUUACAAUGGUUCGGUGGAUGGGGAGGGGCCGCUGCAUACACACACUUGAAACUGAUUGCUAUGCCCAUACCUUGCACAUGCUGGGUUUUUGUUGUGGUUGUUGUUUUAAAAAAACAAUGUAGAAUUCUCAAAUGUACAAAUAGUUUUGAUGCAAUUGAUUAAAAACAAUCCAGCAGUCACCUCCUACAGUGCAUGAAACUAACGUUUUGUUUUUAAACAGGGUCUGGAGAUAUCUUGUCAGUACAUGACUCAAUUCAGCCCCUUGAGAACUUUUGUAAGAGCAAACCUCUCUCCUGCAGUCUAGGGAAGGUCUGAAUUGAGUGGGAACGUAUGGAGGGUUUGAAUCUUCUCGGGGGGCAUUGCAUGGCAAGCCAAUGUAAGCCUACAGGGUUGUCUGGCAAGAGCGAGGCUUUAAUGGGAGAAGUAUCCACUGGAAGGCCCACAGUAUGUACACAGGACAUGAGAUAAGCUGCUGUCCUUGUGAGGAACCUGUGUGUGGAGGCUCAGCCACAAGGUUAAGAUCUGUGGAGACGGAGAGGGCCCUCUGCAGUGUCACUGUGCUUCUAUUCCCAGGCUUUCCACCACGCUCAGGGCACAGAUCCCAAGCCUUAUUUUCUCGGUCGGUUAGCAAUGUUGUAUACACACCUGUUGGCUUUACCCGCCUCUCUGAGCCUGGAGUCAUGUGCUCCAUCGUUUUCAGUUUGGCUGCAGCACCAGGGUAAAAAAGGACGCUGUUCUCCACCCAGGAGCAUGCAUGCUCCCUGGCAGAUUGGACACUUUGGUGGGUAAGGUCCAGACUUUAUCAGGGAGGAGUAUCUUGGUGGACUUAAAUUCAAGCAAAAUAAGCUACUAUGGGGGGCUUUCAAAAGUGCAGUGGGUACAAAGGGCUCUGAGGAGCUAGGCUUAAAGCCAUCCUGAGCCCAACGAUGUUUAUGCUUCAAGAUGUUGGACUUCCCUUGAGCUGAAAAACUAAACUCCUUAAACUGAGAGGACCUUCUGCAGCCUCCUCAAACAACGGGAGAGAAAGGAAGAAAAGAAAACUGGCAGGAGCCAGGGCUACAAACACCCUGGUGCUCCCAAUUUUAAUGGCACACAGAGCUAGAUUUCCUUUGUUUCUGGCACAAAUUGAAUUAAUUGCAUUUGAAAUUCCCACACACUUAAGGAAAUGGCAGUAUAUUGUACACAGCAAGAAACUGCAUUCUGGAAGAAAGUGAGAUGCUGUCCCUAUUGUGUUAUAACAAUUCAAAACACCCCUCUGCUCCCCCCAGUAGUCAUCAGAGUUGGUUGCAAGAGGAGACACAUUCCUCAUGAACUUUUUGCUAAGGGCCAGGGUAAAUCCUGGGCUUGAAGUCAAAGGCAAAACUCCUGUUGACAUUAGCGGAGCGAGCAUCCAUCCCAGCUCCUAAUGUUGCUCAUAAGAGUACUCCCACUGAAGCCAUUGGGGCUAAUCAUGUGAUAACUGCUCACCAAUGGGAGUCAAGGGUUCACAUUCUGACCCUCAGGUUCCACCACCUUCGUUCCCAUUGGGUAGUAUGCGCUUCUGGUUGUUGUCCUGUUGAUUUCCACCUGAGCAAGGGCAGCAGAAUCCUCCCCUCCCUGCAAUGGCUUUCGCUAAAGAGGAGUAUAAAGCUCCCAUUUAAAAGGCGACCAGGCUGCAACACAGUGUAAUCCUUGCUCGAGCUGCUGCUUCCAGUAGGUUCAGAGCUCUAAAGGGAUGCACUGUAACAACUAAUGAAUCUCGUGUGAGCCAGGAAAGCUGGCUCCUUUCCAAAAUCCCAGUGGACCUCAGAGCUGCACCCAGAGAGAAGACGAGGGAUUCGCAUGGACACGCAUGCAAAAUGGAGACCGUGGAAUGAGCGAGUUCUCUUAAAGAGAGAGGAGAAAUCACCCCUCUCCUAGUAUUUCAGGGGACGGUGGGUUUCCUCGCCUUUAAAAAAAAUUCACCCCCUAGGGAAGUGCCAGAGGGGGAAGGGCAGGCGCAGAGGGAAUGUAAGUUUUAGGGUCUGAUUCUUAUUUAUCCUAAGGCCCCUUUACAUCACUGCGGCAUCACCAAGGGGCCUGAAAGCUGGAAUAAAUCCCAUUCAUACCUGUUUUAUGACCCUUUGAUGCUGCCAAAGAAAGGGGCCUUCUGCUCCACCUUUACUAAGCACCCACUAUUUCCUCAGUCCCUCGAGUGGUCCCUUCGGGCAGGUUUCGUUGGACAUCCACUCAUGAAGGUCAGUCAGCUGUGGCUGGGAUCUUGCUGAUAGAAAGACACAUUGGGCUGGGCCCUGGCAGUCUGUACACCAGCACAUCAGACAAGGUGAAGUCAGUGAGAGUUUGCUAGUGAAAGGACGGGGUUACUGGGGCCUUCUGUGGCGAUGCUAGCCACAAACGUUGCAUGGCAAAUUCCUCUUCAACUCUGAGACUAGCUCAGGGCUGAUUAACCACGCCAUAGCAACUUCCUCUGGCACUCCAGUUUGGGAGGCUGUUUUAUAUGCAUAUGAUGUCUUAAAUACAAUGAUCGAGGCAUGGAAGGUUUAAGAGGUGUGUUCAGCACACACAUAAUACCUGUAUUACCAGGCUUUUCAAUACACAUAUUUACUGGGCACCAGCUUUAUCAUAUAUGAAUCAUCGAGCAGAUUUAGCUUUUUUUAAUGCUAGCCUCCUAUUCAUAUAAUAGGUCAAAGUGACCUUGAAGAAGCCAUAAUGGUCUAUCAAAUUGCAUACAAGUUAGUGAUAGGAGAGUUUACACUCUUCUACUAAGGAUUUCCCCCCAUCCCAGUUUUGUCUUUUUAAAUUGCCAAGGAACAGAAAGAAAAAUUCAUACCUAUAAAAUUUAGCUAAAUACCUUGCAAAGAAAUUACACCUUUUAAAACAUGUGUUAAGUGAAAAUCUGUCACUUCUGCAUGCAUUUUAUUGGCAAUUAGAGUUACUUUAUUUAGGGCCAGAUCACGCCCUACAUGAGAAAAAGCUUACCGAGGGGACUAGGAAUCCUGUAAGGUUCUGCAAUUUAAUGCAUGAACAUUUUUCUGCAUUGACCUCAAUCUCUACUUUAAAUAAAAAAGGCUUUAGAAGCUUAACGCAAAGAUAUGUUUUGACUGAAUCACACUACCAAACAGCAGCAACUACAUGAUGGAGUACUGCUGGCAGUAACUGCAUCUCUCCACCCCGGCACCAUUUUUACCCGUGACGUGGCAUUAUUGCAGGUUUGUUCAACUGUGCAUAAUAAUGUAUAUCACGUGGGACACCAAAAGAAGACUUUAGUGGAUCAUGCUCUUCUGCUGACCUUUCUUGGUCUUAUGCUUCAAUGUCCAAAAUAUUUUAUUUGCAUCACAUAAGCUAUAUAUCUUUUAUAUAGAUAUAUUGCAACCUCAGGUCAUACACUAUUCACUAUGCUUUUAUAUUACAAUCCUUUUCCUCUACCAUUUGGCUGUCUCCAUUUUAAGCUCUUUAGGGUAAGGUUUGUCUACUAGGAAACAGAUAGCAUGGCCCAGUGGAUAGAAAACUAGACUGGGACUUAGGAGACCUGGUUCUAUUCUUGGUUCUGUCCCUGCUCUACUGGGUGACCUUGGGCAAGUCACUUCCCCUUCUGUGGGUAUGUCUACACAGCAGCAGCGCUUUAAUGUAGCUGUGUAGUUGCGGCUCCAGCGUUGGGAGAGAGCUCUCCCAGCACUGUAAUAAAACCACCUCUGUGAGCGGAAUAGCUACCAGCUGAGCAAAGGAAGUUUCAGUGCUGUAAGUGGCAGUGUAGACAAGGCCUGUGCCUCAAUUUCCCCAUCUGAGAAAUGGGGAUUUUGUGAGGUGCUAUUGAUGAAAAGCACAAUACAGGAGCUAGAUAUUAUAACUCUAGCUCCGUUUGUGACCCAAUGUAAUGGGACCAGGUUUUUGGUUGGGCAUUAUGGAACAGAAAUAAUAAUGAGUGGGGUGUAUAGAGAAACCAGUGCAUUAGCCUGAGGCAUAUCUAAUGGGAGGGAUCAUGGUGUACUGCUGACUUGGUGAGUUUAUCAUUCUGAUAAAAGAUAAUAAACAAUCUGUUAGCUUGCUGGUCCCCUCUGUUCAGGGUACACAGACUGUGGAUUUGUAGAGCUGUUUAGAUACAUUAUAUAGAUUCCCCAGCCCAAGUACUAACUGGGAGUAAAUUAUUUGGAAACCUUCUAUUUCACCAGAACAGCCAUUCAAGUAGCCUAAUACACACAUUAGAGUCUGUUUGCACUUAAAAGAAGUGGGAGGUAUUAAAUCAGCCUCUGGCCAGAUAGUCAUUGUAUAAACAAGAGCUGUUAACUCCUACUUGAUAGCAGCGAUAGCAAGAGAAAAGAAAACAACCCUCCAGUAUCAUGACCAGCCUGACACAGCAGGCUUUAGGUUGGGUGGGGGGAGCCAGAGUUCAUGACUGUCUGGGCUGGUGUUUGGUUAUGUUGCACCAGGGACUUUCCGUAUCAGUCUCUCGCUCUCUGUAAAGAUGAACUGGGGCGGCUGUUUUGCUGUCUGAAUUCAGAGAUGCUUUCAGAUCCAUUUAAUAGUCAUUUAAAAUACCCUUGACCAGGGACAGCACAGGGGAUUGGGACUGCAGAGCGUGGGUGGGGACUGCACUAGCUUUUCUCUUCAUGGGACCCAGGUUCGACUGACUGGCUCAAGGCAGAGAGGGAAAGAGUGUGGAGGCCUCAGUCUUGCCUGUGAAAGGCCUGCCAUGUGGCCAAAUGAUCUGGCUGUUCAGGAGAGGCCCUGGGCCACCGAGUCCUGAGUUAGCGACCUGGCAAUGCUACCUCCCACCUCCAGCAAAGCCUUUCUGGCCCUGGCCAGCACCGACGCCCCACCACUCCCAUGCACACGAGCGAGAUUCCUCGCCCGGGCUGGGUUUUAAAGUCAGGUGGCAUCUGCAUUAGUUGCAUGGGAACACAGAAGUUUUGAAACUGGGAUCCCAGAUUCUUUAAAACCUUUGUGGCUCACAGGGUAGGUGGCACGCACUGGUGCAACAGGUUUUAUGCUGGCGGAGUUACAUCAGAGUAGCAAAGCCAGCAGCAAAAUGGGCUUUUAGACCAGGAAGCACAAAGAAACACCAAUGAUCUGAUUCUUCUCUUGCUUGGUCCCUGUCUUUGGGGUUGGCUCUGUGGAAAGCAGGCGGAGGCUCAGCCAUGGUUAUCUGGGAUUCCAGAGCAGUAACAUCUCACACAUAAGUAUCCCACAGAGAGAGAAUUGAGCUCCCUUUCUUUGCCCACAGGCCUUCGGGCCAAGAUGAAAGGAUUACUGUGUCUUAGGAGACGAUGGGACAGGGCCUUGGCUACAAUCAAAUCACCCGGUGCAUUGUUUGGGGGGGGGGGGGGGGGGAUGCAUACAAAAGCUUGGCUUUACACUCCUCUAAUUCAGCUAUAGCUGUGUGCAGGGCUGGUUCCACUAAACCAACUUAGAGUAGUUGCAGGGCUGCUCUAGUGUGUGGCGGCUGCAAACAGCCCCCAGGGACCUGCAUUGCAGCCAGACCUCACCAUCAUGCAGGGACAUCCAGGCCAUGCGUCUUUCCCUGCUGUGUCAGCCUCACAAGGGGGAGUCACGUGAGAGCCCUGAAAUUGCCUUACACCCAAAAACUCCCCUGAAGCUGACUAUUGCUGGCGCUAAGCCCAGACUGUGCUGAUGGUUCAAAGCAGCUGCACCGGCUGGGUUAAUGCGUCCACUUCACAGAAUAUCGCCCGCUGGCAUCUGGCAUAGUGUGAUGGCCCCCCGCCAGCACUGCAUUGGGAAUCCAUGGGAAUAACAACAGAGUGGCUCAGGCUGCGUGGGGCAGCACGCUGCUGUUGUGAAGGUUGGUGCUCAGGCUAAAGAAUACUGGAUUGUUUCCCCACCUCCGGCCCCCAGACAGUAUUUCUAGCAACCAUAGUCUGCUCACUCCGGUGCAAGCCUGUGUGUUAAUGAAAUGUAUGAGUCAUGGAGAGCAUAAGAAACUGUUUUCAGUUGACUUCACUCACCACUUCCUUUCCUCAUAUUCAUCUCUCCCAGCAGCCCACUUAUCGUCCCUUUGGAGCCGUGCCCACCACGACUCUCCCCUGAUAGGGCCCUAUCUCCAACAGGCUCAAGUAUUCAGCACCACGAUUGCUUCUGAGCUUGCCCACUCCCUUAGUCAAGCACGCACAAAUUGUUCUCUGUGGCUAAUCAAAUGUCAAAACCACCUAACUCUGUGAUUUGGAGAGCUUUGAAACAGGAAGACAGUUACCACUGACACAGGUGAGCAGCACACAAUCGUCUGGGUUUAUGACUGCAGAACUGGUGUCAGUAAUAUUUCAGUAUUGGGUGCAGCUCCACAAGUAUUUGUCCGGUAACAACUAUUUUACAGUCUCCUUUGAAAGGAAUAAUGACUAUUCAAAUCCCUGGCAGCGAGGCCGUUGCUUUUCCACAGCCAAGGCUUCUCUCUCUUCUCAGGCAACCGUGGAUUCUCUCUCUGCUGCUGCUGAACACUAGAGGGCAUUGCUAAAUGUUUGGGGGGGAAAUCACAGACUGCUCCAAUAAUUCAAGGGUUAUUUUUUACUGUGCCACGAAUCAGUGACUUUAAAAGUAAACCUCUGAAGAUUCUGCACCCGGAAUGAGCUGCCGCCAAGUUGGCUCGAAGGAUUAGGAAAGCCCCUCUCAGGCAGCUAGCGUUAUUGGAAACUCCACCCGGCAAGGUUAAACAAAGGGGUGGAAUUCUCCGAGAAGUCUGGACGGCAAAACUGUAGUGUAGAGACAAGGCCUUAGCGUAGAGGAGGUAGUAUGAACUAACAGGUAGUUGCUGGAUAGUUUCUCAUCCUUCCCUCCUUAUGCAGGAAAAAACAUUUAAAGGCUUCAAUCCUGCAACUGAUCAUAUGGUGGAACUGAAAUCAGCAUAGCUAUUCAUAAGGGCGGAGAUCCAUCUGCAUGGGGCCUCAAUCUGUGUUUACAGAUCAGCUGUACCUUCUUCCGAUGGCUCUAACCUCACUUGCCAAAGAGAUCCACUCUCUCUCUCCCCUCCAUGCUAAAGCAACCCUAAGCAAUGUCUGCAAAGAAUCUCCAAUUAGUCAGGCCAGACAUCCACCAGACAGCUGACAUUUAUACAGAGAGGUCUAGUUGGGUAUUUUUAAUUGCCUUGCCCAGUCUAAAGUUUGGGGACUAACAAAUUCAAUGUGCAAACAAAUCAUUAACAUACAUUCUCUUCUCACCUCCAGCAUUAAGCAGGGAUUGCUUGGGCACAGGUGGAAGGGACACAGUCAAACUUAUUUAAAAAAUGUUAAUUUUCUGAUAGUUUUCCCCCUCUCACUGCACUCGCCACAGCAAACCCUGGGGCUUGUUACAGGGAGGAGGAUUUGGUCCUUGAAAGAGAGGCAUGGGCUGAGUACAGAACGGGGCAGGGAGCCCCGGAGGUCCAUCAUCUCUGGGACACCGGUCAACUGACUUCAAUACUCUGCCUUUGUUUUGAGGCUAGUACCUACCUUCCCACACAGGGGAACUGGAGGGGUCAUUAACAUUUACCAGAAAGCUCUCUGAAGAGCUGACGGGCCAACUGGCUGAAAUAAGAGAUACUGGGCUCACUUUUCAGAUGUGCCCAACAUCUGGCAGGUACAGCUAAGUGUAACCUACAAAGAAGCCAUGUGCAGCUCUCCAGUCCUGGGACCCUCUGACCAGUGAUGGACCAGCGGUGCUCUGGUCAUGCCAUCUGUCACCUAGGAGCACCCCCUGCUCCGAGGAUUCGGGAAGGGGACGGUUGGAGACAGUUUCAGCAGCUGCCUGACACCCAGUGAUCCCCUCAUGGUGGGAGAAUGUCCCUCUGGAGAGAUACAGCCCCAUUGUCCCAGGGGAGGGGCAAGACAGAACCCAAGCCAGGCCCAGGCCUGAGAGCAGUUUCCCACUUUGCUAGAUCGAGCAAACCUUAUACGAGAGCCAAUCCUGGGGAAUGUUUUUCCUCAGAAAACUGGAUUCUCAACAAAAUGACGUGUUUCAUGACCAGAGUCUGCUUUUGGUGAAAAACUGAGACAUUUCAUCAGAGAAAAGCUGGCAGAUGAAAAUGUUCAGGGUUUGGGUUUUUUUUAAAUGAAAAGUCAAAAUGUUCCCGCAGAGAACCCCUGCUUCUGAAACAGCUCUGCUGUAUCCGUUGGCACUCAGAAAUACCCCCUGAGGGCUCCCAUGGGGCCUGGGACAGGGGUGCUGCCCCUUGCUGGGGUCUGCUGAUGGAAUUCAGUUGUUCUUUGGCCAGUGACCCCCACCCCCAGGGUUUCUAGUUAUUAAUUCCUUGUUCUCCUUUCCAGGUACUGCAGGGCCAGGGGCCAAGCUGCCUGUGUUAGCUUUUAUUUAGUGGGUUCCUCAAGUGACAGGGCAGCAAGCCACUUCACUUCUGGCACCUGUGCUCCCAAUAACCACUUUAGGAAGAUCUCCCGCUUGCCAGGUAAGCUGAUGGGGUCUUCCUGCACCUAUCACAGUUACUAUUUUCAACCUCCAAGGAAAGCAUGCAAACCCAACCUCUAGUGCUCCAAGAGCCGCAGGACUGGCAGUCUGGCCUCCAGAGUCAUAAUUUAUCUCAGCUGAAAGCUAAACUCAAGCUGCUCGCUAAAGCUGCCAGGUGAAAAGAGAACUUUCCAUCGACUUGUGCCCUCUUCCCGGCACAUCUUAAAACCUCAGGAAGGAUACACAGUACAAAAGAUGUUUGCGGGCUUCUGUUGCUCAGUCUGUUGCUGGUUUUGAAAUCUAAGCAGUUCACUCUUCAAAAGCCUUGAAUCAAAUGUAAAGGGUGCGCAACACAUCAGUCUCCAGCAGGAAGUAUCGAUUCCUGUUGUCUGCUGUCAGCAAAGCCAUUUAUGAAGAUUCAAGCAAACCAUACAUAAUUUGCGACAAUAAACGGAUGGAGCCGCAACCCUCCCUAAAAUAUCUGUGGUCGGCGAGAUCAAAGCACCUGCCUGGCUUCAUUUGCUAAAUGAAAGGAGAAGCAUCAAUGUGUCAGUGUGAGGAGUCUAGUGUCUGUUUAGUGAGAAUUUGUCAGUUGGAAGGUUCAGUUCCUUCCUUAAGGUGAAGGAGAGAAUACAUGCCUAGCCGUUAGGGUCGAAGAGCUGAGUUCUAGGCUGAGCCUAUGUGAUCAUGAAAAUGUUACCUAGUCAUCCCUGCCUCAGUUUCUGUGUUGGUUUAAGACGGAAUGUUAGGAGCUCUUAGGAAAGGGAUAGAAAAUAAGACAGAAAAUAUCAUAAUUCCACUAUAUGCAUCCAGGGUGCGCCCACAGCUUGUGUUGUGCGUGCAGUUCUGGUCGCCCCAUCUCAGAAAGGAUAUAGUGGAACUGGAAGAGGUUCAGAGAAGGGCAACAAAGAUGCUCAAGGGACUGGAACAACUUCUAUACAAGGAGAGACUAAAAAGAUUAGAGCUGGUCAGUUUAAAAAAGACGAUUAAGGGGGGAUAUGAUAGAGGGUUAUAAAAUCAUGAGCGGUGUGGGGAAAGUGACUAGGGAAGGGUUAUUUACCCCUUCCCAAAAUACAAAAACCUGGGGGGAGUCACCCCACAAAAUUAAUGAGCAGUAGCUUGAAUACAAACAAGAGGAAAUGCUUAUUCACACAACACACAAUUAACAUAUGGAACUCAUUGCCAAGGGAUGUUGUGAUGGCCCAAAGUAAAACUGGGUUGGAAAAAGAAUUAGAUACAUU